UACGAACUGUGCAAACGUUAUUCGGAUUCACUGGGCUUACAGGGUGCGUAGGCGGCCUGUUAAGUAGGGUGUGAAAGCCCCCGGCUCAACCGGGGAAUGGCGCCCUAAACUGGCGGGCUGGAGUGAGAUAAGGGUGUGUGGAACUUCCGGUGGAGCGGUGAAAUGUGUUGAUAUCGGAAGGAACGCCGGUGGCGAAAGCGACACACUGGGUCUCAACUGACGCUGAGGCACGAAAGCCAGGGGAGCGAACGGG
rnacentral:rRNA from 1 species